UUUUGCCGUCCGAGUUGUAAUUUAGAGAAGUGUUAUCCGUGCUGGACCGUGUACAAGUCUCCUGGAAUGGAGCGUCAUAGAGGGUGAGAAUCCCGUCUUUGACACGGACUACCAGGACAUUGCGACGCUCUCAAAGAGUCGAGUUGUUUGGGAAUGCAGCUCAAAAAUGGGUGGUAAAUUCCAUCUAAAGCUAAAUAUUGGGGAGAGACCGAUAGCGAACAAGUACCGUGAGGGAAAGAUGAAAAGAACUUUGGAAAGAGAGUUAAACAGUACGUGAAAUUGUUGAAAGGGAAACGCUUGAAGUCAGUCGCACCGCUCAGAACUCAGCCUUGCUUUGCUUGGUGUACUUUCUGUUUGGUGGGUCAGCAUCAGUUUUGGUCGGUGGAUAAAGGCUCAGAGAAUGUGGCAUCUUCGGGUGUCCUAUAGCUCUGGGUCGCAUACAUCGAUUGGGACUGAGGAACUCAGCACGCCGCAAGGCCGGGUAUUUUACCACGUACGUGCUUAGGAUGCUGGCAUAAUGGCUUUAAUCGACCCGUCUUGAAACACGGACCAAGGAGUCUAACAUGCCUGCGAGUGUUUGGGUGGAAAACCCGAGCGCGUAAUGAAAGUGAAAGUUGAGAUCCCUGUCGUGGUGAGCAUCGACGCCCGGAGCAGACCUUUUGUGACGCAUCCGCGGUAGAGCAUGUAUGUUGGGACCCGAAAGAUGGUGAACUAUGCCUGAAUAGGGCGAAGCCAGAGGAAACUCUGGUGGAGGCUCGUAGCGAUUCUGACGUGCAAAUCGAUCGUCGAAUUUGGGUAUAGGGGGCGAAAGACUAAUCGAACCAUUGUGUGCUACUUGGUGUGAGAGGCGGUUGAAAGACUUUGCC
rnacentral:rRNA from 1 species